rnacentral:rRNA from 1 species
AAUAGCGGCCAUGUCACCCUGCAAUCCACAUCUGUUAACCCACUGAAGCUCAGCAGGUGUGAGCCUGAUCAGUACCUGGAUGGGAGACCUCCUGGGAAAAACUAAGAUUGCUGCUGGAA